GACGAACGCUGGCGGCGUGCUUAACACAUGCAAGUCGAACGCUGAAGCACCAGCUUGCUGGUGUGGAUGAGUGGCGAACGGGUGAGUAAUACGUGAGUAACCUGCCCUUGACUCUGGGAUAAGCCCGGGAAACUGGGUCUAAUACUGGAUGCUACAUGUCACCGCAUGGUGGUGUGUGGAAAGGGUUUACUGGUCUUGGAUGGGCUCACGGCCUAUCAGCUUGUUGGUGAGGUAAUGGCUCACCAAGGCGACGACGGGUAGCCGGCCUGAGAGGGUGACCGGACACACUGGGACUGAGACACGGCCCAGACUCCUACGGGAGGCAGCAGUGGGGAAUAUUGCACAAUGGGAGAAAGCCUGAUGCAGCGACGCCGCGUGAGGGAUGACGGCCUUCGGGUUGUAAACCUCUUUCAGCAGGGAAGAAGCCACAAGUGACGGUACCUGCAGAAGAAGCGCCGGCUAACUACGUG
rnacentral:rRNA from 1 species